rnacentral:rRNA from 1 species
AUUGAACGCUGGCGGCAGGCCUAACACAUGCAAGUCGAGCGAGCGGCGGACGGGUGAGUAAUGUCUGGGAAACUGCCUGAUGGAGGGGGAUAACUACUGGAAACGGUAGCUAAUACCGCAUACCAUCAGAUGUGCCCAGAUGGGAUUAGCUAGUAGGUGGGGUAACGGCUCACCUAGGGGACGAUCCCUAGCUGGUCUGCGAGGAUGACCAGCCACACGGGAAUGGAUAGACGGUCCAGACUCGUACGGGAGACAGCGGGGGGAAAUAUUGCACAAUGGGCGCAAGCCUGAUGCAGCCAUGCGGCGUGUGUGAAGAAGGCCUUGGGGUUGUAAAGCACGUUCAGCGGGGAGGCGUUACCCGCAGAAGAAGCACCGGCUAACUCCGUGCCAGCAGCCGCGGUAAUUC